UGGGGAAUAUUGGACAAUGGGCGAAAGCCUGAUCCAGCCAUGCCGCGUGUGUGAAGAAGGCCUUAUGGUUGUAAAGCACUUUUAGCGAGGAGGAGGGUACUGGUAUUAAUACUACCAGGUACUGGACGUUACUCGCAGAAUAAGCACCGGCUAACUCUGUGCCAGCAGCCGCGGUAAUACAGAGGGUGCGAGCGUUAAUCGGAUUUACUGGGCGUAAAGCGUGCGUAGGCGGCUAAUUGAGUCGGAUGUGAAAUCCCCGAGCUUAACUUGGGAAUUGCAUUCGAUACUGGUUAGCUAGAGUGUGGGAGAGGAUGGUAGAAUUCCAGGUGUAGCGGAGAAAUGCGUAGAGAUCUGGAGGAAUACCGAUGGCGAAGGCAGCCAUCUGGCCUAACACUGACGCUGAGGUACGAAAGCAUGGGGAGCAAACAGG
rnacentral:rRNA from 1 species